rnacentral:lncRNA from 1 species
AUGCUCUCAUCCAGUCCUCCCACCUGACGGCUAGACCUCAGCCACAUCCCAAGACAGUUUAAUAUCUGGCUGCACAGGACACUCUAUCCCGGAAUUCAGCCUUAUUUGGAAAGAAAAAUUGAGAGGGCUCCUCACAUAAGUGUGUAUACAGCUGGGAUGGGUCCUCUGAAUCCACCUUCUCUUCCAGCAUAUGAUCUAAUUUCUCAUUCUUCUUCGCUGUUGUUUUUGCUUGCGAAUUUCCAUGUUAUCGAGUAACAGUUGUCCGCUGAACUACAGUCUCCAGGGCUCCUACUGCCUUCCGGGAUGUGAAGUGGCUGAAAUGAGAAAAUUGUCCAUAGCUGUAUAAUCCAUACCAGUGAAAGUAGAUCUACAGACAUUUAGUAGCAAUCAAUC